rnacentral:tRNA from 1 species
AACUAGGUAACAUAAUGGCAAUGUGUUGGACAGUAAAGAAUGACGGUUCGACUCCGUCCCUAGUUA